UGGCGGCAGGCCUUACACAUGCAAGUCGAACGGCAGCACGGGGGCAACCCUGGUGGCGAGUGGCGAACGGGUGAGUAAUGCAUCGGAACGUGCCCAGUAGUGGGGGAUAACUAGUCGAAAGAUUAGCUAAUACCGCAUACGACCUAUGGGUGAAAGCGGGGGACCGCAAGGCCUCGCGCGAGAGGAGCGGCCGAUGCCGGAUUAGCUAGUUGGUGGGGUAACGGCCCACCAAGGCGACGAUCCGUAGCUGGUCUGAGAGGACGACCAGCCACACUGGGACUGAGACACGGCCCAGACUCCUACGAGAGGCAGCAGUGGGGAAUUUUGGACAACGGGGGAAACCCUGAUCCAGCCAUGCCGCGUGUGUGAAGAAGGCCUUCGGGUUGUAAAGCACUUUCGGACGGAACGAAAUCGCGUGGGCGAAUAUCCCGCGUGGAUGACGGUACCGUAAGAAGAAGCACCGGCUAACUACGUGCCAGCAGCCGCGGUAAUACGUAGGGUGCGAGCGUUAAUCGGAAUUACUGGGCGUAAAGUGUGCGCAGGCGGCGUCGCAAGUCGAGUGUGAAAGCCCCGGGCUUAACUUGGGAAUUGCGCUCGAAACUACGAUGCUGGAGUGUGGCAGAGGAAGGUGGAAUUCCACGU
rnacentral:rRNA from 1 species